rnacentral:lncRNA from 1 species
AACUGACACCUAUUGAUUUAAUACAACCAGGUAAAGAGGCAGACAACCAUCUGAUAUCUAUGAAGCAAAUGAACUAGCAAUAUGCUAGAAAUAUCAACAAUUGCAAUAUACAAAGGCAACAUGCAGAUACAUACACCUCCUCCUGGCCAAAUUAGCUCACAUCCCGGAGUCUUUUUAUCAAUGCAUCCAAAGAUUUCUUCUUUGAAUUCUGCU